GACAGAGGGUGCAAACGUUGCUCGGAAUUACUGGGCGUAAAGCGCGUGUAGGCUGACCGGAAAGUCGGGCGUGAAAGCCCUGGGCUCAACCCAGGAACUGCACUCGAAACUCCCGGUCUAGAGUGGUGGAGAGGGAAGUGGAAUUCCUAGUGUAGAGGUGAAAUUCGUAGAUAUCAGGAGGAACACCAGUGGCGAAGGCGGCUUCCUGGACACCAACUGACGCUGAGACGCGAAAGCGUGGGGAGCAAACAGG
rnacentral:rRNA from 1 species